CGGGGGACUCGGCCAGGCCUGGGGCGCUCCCUGGCGGCCGCACGGGGAGGCACUCGGCUUCGCAACCUGGGUGUGCCUGGCCUGGGUGUGCGGGAGGACCCCAGAGGACCCCAGAGGACCCCAGGAGCAGGGGUCGCGCCGAAGAGCAGAGUCCGCGGCUGGAAACCAGGCAGGGGAGCCACGGAGUAGUCACACAGGUUUUCUGCCGCCUUUCAACUGGUCUUAUUUUGCUUUCAUUUUUCACCAGCCCAUGUGGGGUGUUUAAUGUUGCACGCGAACGCAGUUUCUUCCGGGCCCGGAAGGCCCACGCACGCAACAAUGUUGUGCAAGUGACUGGAAACCACCUGAGUGUCCCUCCAUGGGGGUGGGUUGCCCAGCAUGGACCUCUACUCCUGUCACAAUGAAGUCGACUGUUUCGUCGAGGGAAGUGGCCACCGUUGAUAAAAUGAAAAGACGCCAUGCAGAAUACUGUGCACAGGAGGAAAGGUCUGCGUGCCCUAAGAGAGAGCUGCUGGCGUGCAGAGAGAAGCAGAGAUGCCGACGACGGGGAGGAAACACACUGGCGGUGGUGAGGCUCCUUCCAGCAGCCACAGCCCUGGUUCCUCUCAGUCUGUGACCCUCCCACAUCCUUCCCAUCUAUGAGAGCCUGUAAACUCCUUUUGCUUAACCUUGUUUUAGUUAAGGUUUUAAACAGUUGCCACCAGUGUGCCCUAACCACCCCAGUGGCUUGAGUGUUUCUCCGCUUCUUUUGCCUAGGAUCUGCGGAGAUGGACAGGACAGGAGACUAAGGAGGUGAGAACCCUGGCCCACACCAUCACUAAGGGCCCUUCCUGAGGUCUGCUUCCCACAUGAAGUCCUCCCAGGGCCCUGAAUCCAGCCAUCCACCUCCUUGUUGGACAUAGGCUCCAUUAGAGAGAUGCGGGGCUCCAGCCCCCCUUGCUCUGCCUCCCUGUGAGAAGUUGCUGACAGUGAAGGAAAGGUGGCUUGUGAGUUCUGGCCAGCAGAAUGUGAGAACAAGCAGAGUACUCUCCAUCUUCCCUCCCUGAUCCUCACCUCUUCCCCAACCACCAGCUGACUAGAGAUGCCUCCAACAGCUACAGGAGGCUGGACCCACAACAGGAAAGGAACCUGGGUCCAUGAAAGACUGUGUGGAGCAGAGAAUCCCCCACCCUAGUUCCCAGCAACUACCAGAGACUGUGGCAUGAGCAAAAAAAUAAACAUUUUUCUUUCCUUUUUUUUUUUUUUUGAGAUGGAGUCUCACUCUGUCACCCAGGCUGGAGUGCAGUGGCGUGAUCUCGACUUACUGCAAGCCCCGCCUCCUGGGUUCAAGAAAUUCUACUGCCUCAGCCUCCAGAGUAGCUGGGACUACAGGCACCUGCCACCACACCUGGCUAAUUUUUUGUAUUUUUAGUAGAGACGGGGUUUCACUGUGUUAGCCAGGCUGGUCUCAAUCUCCUGACCUCGUGAUCCGCCCGCCUCAGCCUCCCAAAGUGUUGGGAUUACAGGCGUGAGCCACCGCACCCGGCUAAAUAAACAUUUUUCAAAGCCUCCCAAGUAUAGGUAAUGUUUGUUACAGUGGUUAGUCUAUUCUGGCUCUAUCCUUCUGUAACCACCGAAGGGCUGGUUAAAACAUUUUAUUGGGCCCCAUCCCAGUUUUUGGUCCCAUAGGCCUGAAGGAAGGGGCAUACAAUUUGCAUUUUUAUUUAUUUAUUGAAACAGAGUUUCGCUCUUGUUGCCCAGGCUGGAGUGUAAUGGCACAAUCUCGGCUGACUGCAACCUCUGCCUCCCGGGUUCAAGUGAUUCUCCUGCCUCGGUCUCCUGGGUAGCUGGGAUUACAGGCGCCCACAACCAUGCCCGGGUCAUUUUUUGUAUUUUUAGUAGAGACAGGGUUUCACCACAUUGGCCAGGCUGGUCUCGAACUCCUGACCUCAGGUGACCCACCCGCCUUGGCUUCCCAAAGUACUGGGAUUACAGGCACGAGCCACCACACCUGGCCUGAAUUUGCAUCUUUUAACAAGUGCUGGGGGUAAUGCUGCAGCUGCUGCUGGUCUGGGGUGAUGUUGUGGCUGCUGGCCUUGUGAACCACUGCCCAAGUGCGUAGCUGCAGUGUGGGAGUUACUAUCCCAUUUUGCUGAGGAAAUGGUACCCAGUUCCUGGCCGUCAUGGGCACUGAGCUGCCUUCCUGCUGUGCCUCGUCAGUGCCUGCCUACAUCGUUGCUCAUUGAUCAUGGCCUGCGAGUUAGUGUCAUCAGAGGAAGGGAGAAGAGUUCCUAGAGUGGAAACCCUGGGCUGUAAGCCCGGUUCUACCACCUCCCAGCUGUCUGGCAGCAGGCAAGUUCCUCAGUCUAAGUCUCUUUCCUCUGGUGUAAAAGGGGAAAAGGGUGUUCGUUUGCUCCCCACCCCCAUCAGCCUGGCAGCUUUGUGCCCACAGUAGAUUUUCUAUGAGGACCUCUCACUGAUGCACUUGAGUGGCAGAGACUUGGGACUAAAGGAGGACUUCUGGCCCCAGAUGCCCCAGUGCCAGCCUCACCCUUGAGGGCCACAGUGAGCACCCACGUGUCUCACCGCCUCCAAGGCAGCUGAGACCUCUCCUGGUACAGGCUUACAGGGGGGAAGGCGGAAUUGUACAGGGAAAAAAAACCUCAGACUACAGUCACAAAUUUUACAUGCACACCUUUGCCAGUUAUGAGAAUUGUGUUGCAAAGAGGAAGGAGUGGAGAGUUUACCAGCCAAGGGCUGGAGGACCCCAACACUCCAGUUUCUUAGAACAUUCAUUGCAGGUACUCUUUUAUACUACCAAAGUCCUCCCACCCCAUCCCCCACCAACCACAGCUUCCAGGAAUCACUGAGAUUCACAGAGAAAGGAAGUAAACACAAUUAAGAACAAAGUUAUGUUGAAAAGAUAUUUCAAUGCACAUGUUGCAAACAAGGCGAGUCCCAGGAAUCAUUCCGAAGAAAAAGACAGAAUGACACUGAAAUCCAUCAUGAUGGUUAUCCCAUCAUGAUGGGAGUAAAGCCUUUAAGGGAGUAAAGCCUUAAAGAUCUCCUUGUCAGAUGAGACUUUUAGAACAGACCCGACAUUCUGUUGACUUAGAAGAGCUGAUGUCAUCCUCAGAGCCCAGGUGAUACACACAUUCCUGGAUGUGGCCACAGGGUGGAUGAUAGUACCCUCAGCUGAGAUGGGAAUAGGGGGCAGAGCAGUUUUGGAUGUGGGUGGAAUUGGGGGUUGGAGAAAGAGAAGCAAAGUUCAGCGGUUUGGGAUGCAGCCACUGAGGUGUCUGCAGGAGUGGAUGGAGAGGCAGAACAAGCAUUUGAGGACACUCAGGCUCUCUGGGUAGCAGACAUGGCCUGAGUGAUUUCAUUUACUACUGAGAGGACAGUGAGUGCCCCGGGCUGCCUCCCAGAGUGGCUGGCCCUUACCUAGGGCACCUGGUGGAUGCUCUAACCCUCAGGAUUCACUUUUCACCAUGAGAUAUUGACUCCUUUAAAUUUCUGCCUGUGUCCUAUUUUAAAAGUGGCUCUGCUGGAUGGACAAGUGGUGGAAGGAAAUUUGGAAUAAGCAACAGAGAUUCUGGUUGUCUUCAGUAAAAAACUAUGCAUUGGGGCCGGGCGUGGUGGCUGACGCCUGUAAUCCCAACAUUUUGGGAGGCCGAGGCGGGUGGAUCACCUGAGGUCAGGAGUAUGAGACCAACCUGGCCAACACAGUGAAACCCUGUAUCUACUAAAAAUACAAAAAUUAGCCAGUUGUGGUGGCAUGCGCCUGUAAUCCCAGCUACUCAGGAGGCUGAGUCAGGAGAAUCACUUGAACCCGGGAGGCAGAGGUUGCAAUGAGCCAAGAUUGCACCACUGCGCUCCAGCCUGUGUGACAAGAGGGAAACUCUGUCUCAAAAAAAAAAAGAAAGAAAAUAGAACUAUGCAUUGCUUAGGGUGCACCCUUCCAAUUAUCUGAUUCUAGUCUUUCACUGCCUUUGAGCUAUUUUUACAACUAAGUUGUAGAGUUAAUGCAAAAUAAUUCUUGUCUAUGGAUGUGCAUAUUAUACGAAUAAGAUUCAAUUGACCUUUCUCCUCAAAAAAAAAAAAAAAAAAAAAAACCCCAGCCAGUUUCAACUUUCCUUUACUCCAUACAGAUUUAUGGUUCAUUGUGAUUUCUCUUUUGAACUGGCUGUUAAUCUUAGCAGCACUCUCAAUUACUGAGUUAAAUAAAAUCUUUGACAUGUGUACAUGUAAUAUAUAUGAGUUAUGCCUUUUUUUAAAAAAUUAUCUUUAACAGAAGGCACGGGAAGGACCACUACCUCUCAGAGAUGGAAAGGCUUGCCAUGGUCCACGCAGCACAAAGCCCACCCCCAGCCAUAUCAUCCCAGACAGGAAGGGUGUAGCCUGGGCUUGCAUACCUCCAAGGACAGGGUGCUCAGUCCCUCCUAGAGGCCACUUCACUUCUUCCCAUAUUGGCUCACAGCUGUGACUUUAAAACACAGAACGAGUGCAUAUCUAAAACUAGAAGAAAACACUAUGGUCCUUCCUGCUGACAGCUGAGUGCUUGGGCCUAAAUCAGCAUCUACACACGCGGCCUGCAACCCUGGGUUCCAUGCAAAGGCAGUGUGGCUGAAUUGGCUGCAGGUGGAGUGAGGAGAGAGGCCAACACAGGCUCACGGUAACACUUCCACUGCCUCAGAACAAAACCCUGGAUUUCCUGACCUUCCAGCAGUCCAUGUGUAUUUUCAAAUACCAGGUUUUUCUCAGGGCACCAGGGCAAGCCGAGCAAGGCCCACACACGCUAGUCUCACACAUGUCCCCCAGCACUGCCCCCAGGUUCCCAGCCCUGCUGAGCUGUCCUCACAGACACGGACACCCUCCCUCAUAGGAGGUGCGGAGGAGCACCCAGUCCCGGUCUGAGGCCUCAGGCAAGUCCCAGCACACCCCAGGGCCUCUGUUCUCCUUAUGAGUGGGACCAGAUGGGGUCCACCAACCGUCCAAACGUGAUAUGCUGCUGUCUUCAGGGCACAUUAUCCCCAGCGUUGAUGUUCACAAUAAUCCCCUUUCUCCCCACAGACCAUCCCUCCUGGGCCCCAGGCCUCUGUGGCCUACCCUGGCCCCUUGGCAGUUGAUGGCCACUCUGCUGCUUCUGGGGGCUCCCGGGCAACUUUGGUUGUGUUGGUUUCUGGUAGCAUCUGCGCUCCAGGCAAGAAGCAACACCCUACCUUGUCUCCCCACCUCUAUGGCACAGAAAGAGAACAGACCUUGAACUCCAAAUGCCUGCUGAGGCUUGCCACAGACCUCGAAGCCUUGUUCCUAAAGGGACAGGGAAGUGGACCGUUUCGUUUCAGUGAUUCAAAGCUUGAGCUAUCUGACAUGUGACCCAGGCAGCUCUCUCGUAGGGACUGGCAGCCACAGAUAAAAUUCCCCAAUCAUUAAAAUUAUGUUAGCAAUAAUUCAGGGGAUGCAUACUAAAUAAUCUGGAUCUUUGUUAGAUGCUUACCCAUCUCAACUCAUUUAAUCCUUGAAACAACCUCACAGGGGUAGGAGGUUUUGUCACCUUAUACCCACACACACCAGCAGUGGUCAGGCAGCAACAGGUACACCCCAGCCCUGAGUACCUACUUAUUAAAAUGUGAUCCCCCAUCCUGGCUAACACGGUGAAACCCCGUCUCUACUAAAAAUACAAAAAAAAUUAGCCGGGCGUAGUGGCGG
rnacentral:lncRNA from 10 species